AUUGAACGCUGGCGGCAGGCCUAACACAUGCAAGUCGAACGAGUGGCGGACGGGUGAGUAAUGUCUGGGAAACUGCCUGAUGGAGGGGGAUAACUACUGGAACCGGUAGCUAAUACCGCAUACCAUCAGAUGUGCCCAGGUGGGAUUAGCUAGUGGGGGGGGUAACGGCUCACCAAGGCGACGAUCCCUAGCUGGGCUGAGAGGGUGACCAGCCACACUGGAACUGAGACACGGUCCAGACUCCUACGGGAGGCAGCAGUGGGGAAUAUUGCGCAAUGGGCGCAAGCCUGAUACAGCCAUGCCGCGUGUAUGAAGAAGGCCUUCGGGUUGUAAAGUACUUUUAGCGGGGAGGCGUUACCCGCCGAGGAAGCAACGGCUAACUCCGUGCCAGCAGCCGCGGUAAUUC
rnacentral:rRNA from 1 species